rnacentral:rRNA from 1 species
UACGUAGGGUGCGAGCGUUAAUCGGAAUUACUGGGCGUAAAGCGUGCGCAGGCGGUUUUGUAAGCCAGAUGUGAAAUCCCCGGGCUCAACCUGGGAAUGGCAUUUGGGACUGCAAGGCUGGAGUACGGCAGAGGAGACUGGAAUUCCUGGUGUAGCAGUGAAAUGCGUAGAUAUCAGGAGGAAUACCGAUGGCGAAGGCAGGUCUCUGGGCUGAUACUGACGCUGAGGAGCGAAAGCGUGGGGAGCGAACAGG